GGGGUUGUGGCUCAAUGGUAGAGCAUCUGCUUGCCCUGCAGAAGAUUCCAGGUUCAAUCCCUGGUAUCUCCA